GAGCUGGGGCCCCCGCGGAGGCGGGGAGGGGAGAAGCGGGCAUGGGAGCGCUGGGCCCUGGGAGCUGAGGGGGAAACCGAGCCCAACUGGACCCAGAGGAGACCACAGGCUGGACGUGCCGGGAGGAGGACACACAGGGUAGCAACUGCGGCGGUGACACUUGAACGAGCAGAAGCGGCGAUGUCCCCGGAGCCUCGACCUCCUCCUGGACACUGAGCCCCGCAGCCGGGCCCUGCGUCCCCAGCCCGCGGGAUUCCGGCCGCAGUCCUCUCUGGGACCCCCGGGAAGUGGGGAGAGAGCGCUCAGCCGGACUUCCCACUGCUGGACAGCCGGGAGCGGAGCGCUGCCCCUCCGACACCAAGACUGCCCCUCUGGAGAGCCCCGGGGGACUGCCCUGGGCCGCUGCUGCAAUUGCCUUACGUAUAUUCCCACCCUCCCUUCCACUGCUGCCGCAGAGUGGAAGCAUCUGGACUCCUGUCUUGGGACUGCCACAUCUGGAUACCUUCCCUGUAACAGCACAGGCCUUGCCUUGCCUGGGUUUCCCAUCUCUGGAACCCAUCAGCAUAACUGGAAAUCCCUCCCCCCACCUCCUUCCUCAAGUUACUGCAGGGUCCUAACACAUCUGGACUUAUGCCCUCAGAUCCCAAAUCCCUCCCUACCUCUUAGCACAGUAGCCAAGUUUUCUCCAACCCCACUUUCCUUCCCUUUAACACACAUACACACACACAUCUGAAUUGCCCCAUCUCAGCCCCCAGCUUGCCUUUCUCUGCAUGCCCACUCCAGGGAUUGCUGCCCAUCUGGAUGCACUGGGCCCCCUUACCUCCCAUGUGCCCCUACUACCCUAUAUGUUCUACGUGGGGUUGUUCUUUGUCAACGUCCUGAUCCUGUAUUAUGCCUUCCUGAUGGAGUACAUCGUCCUUAAUGUGGGUUUGGUUUUCCUGCCUGAGGACAUGGACCAGGCACUGGUGGAUCUGGGUGUACUCUCAGAUCCAGGCUCUGGGCUCUAUGACACUGACAGCCCUGCAGAGGAAACCUUCAGGCCUAUCGCAGCUUGUACUCCCUGGGCCAGAAUGCCUGGGACAGGCUGAUACUGUGGGUGACACAGGAGUUGCCACCGAUGAUGUCUUCCCUCCUUCAAAGGGAUCCGGGACAAUGCCCUUCCUGGUCCUCAAGACCUAUCUGCCCAUCUUGAAUGUGCACCACGAUGCAACUCCUGGGAUUAACGAGACUGAAAAGUGCUCAGGUUGGAAAGGCACACAGACUGGAAGAAUGGAAGGAAGAGCAACAGAAGGAGCCAGAUCACAGAUUCUUCCAAACAGAUAUUUCCUCAGUGACUGUCCAGCUGCAGUGUUGCACAAGAGGCCAAUGCCUUAGUUUAGUACCUUAACUGAUCUGGAUGCAUAUUUUUUAUGGAAAUCCAAGCUUUUCUCUUUCUAUAUUAUUUCUAGCAUCAGUACCUUGAAGGGUCAACUUUGGGGGAAAAUGUACUUAAGGCUGUUUAGCAAUGAACAGUAGUCUAUAUCAAUAAUUUGUUGUCAAUAAAGCCUAAAGUAGUUGAAAUGUUUAGAAUUUA
ensembl:lncRNA